UCGCGGUUUGUGCCAGAUGACGA
rnacentral:miRNA from 1 species